CUUCAGAGUAUUUAUUUAAAUCAUAUUAAUUAAUAUAUUUAAUAAUAUUAUUUGAUAAUUGAAACUAAAUUUAAUAAUUUAGUAGCAAUUUAUUAUUAAAAUUGUGAAAUGGGAUAAAUUAGCAGCAUAAAUGCCACUGAAGUUUUCAACAUUUUACAAAAAAUGAUACUAAAUGUAAUAAAAUAGCAGUGCUUAUUGCUAAAUUUCAUAACAUUACUCCACAGUAUUUAUUUAAAUCAUAUUAAUUAAUAUAUUUAAUAGCAUUACUUGAUAAUCGUUGCUAGAUUUAGUAACUUAGCAGCAAUUUACUAUUAAUAUUAAAAAUGUGCGAACUGAGAAUUUGGCUGUGUAGCUAAACUCUCUUUUAAUGAUAUUUUUAUAUGUAUUUUUAAUUACAAAAAUACCCGUCAAGUUUCGGAGGAAAACGAGUUAGAAUAAAGAUUUUACGCGAUCUUUACUUUUCACUUAAAGUGAAUAGUAAUCCGAGUUUCUCGGAGAGGCAAAUGAUUAGAGAUAGCUUCUGGUGCGUAUCGAACUCCGUUCAUGGUGAUCCAAUAGCUCGUUUGCAAUGGUCCGACUAUCCUUCAACCAACGGCGCUAACAGAUUUUAGGUUUGACGCACGGAUUUCAAGAAAACUAGAUUUUAUCGCAAAGUAGACUUUUGUUCUUUAUCAUUUUUGCUUUUUGAAACUUCUCGUUGCUCCGUUUUACGUGUGGACUCUCGGGUGAGGACCCUUCUGUGAGAAAAUAUUUAUGUCAAGGGACUUUGGCUGCAUUUUCGCUGAUUGGAGAUUUUGGAGGCAAUUAUUGAAUAUAUACAUUUACUUGUACGUGUGUGGUUUCGCUAAAUCGAAGAGUGGAUGGGUUUCGUCGCGAAUCUGUGAUCAAAUCAGGUGAAAUAAAAUUGUGGGUUUGAUAUCUCUGUCGCGCUGAACGUGUGGUACAGUCCGUUUGCAAAUCUGACCGACGGAUCUCCAUAUAUCG
rnacentral:lncRNA from 1 species